rnacentral:rRNA from 1 species
AGCGAACGCUGGCGGCAGGCCUAACACAUGCAAGUCGAACGAACCUUUCGGGGUUAGUGGCGGACGGGUGAGUAACACGUGGGAACGUGCCUUUAGGUUCGGAAUAACUCAGGGAAACUUGUGCUAAUACCGAAUGUGCCCUUCGGGGGAAAGAUUUAUCGCCUUUAGAGCGGCCCGCGUCUGAUUAGCUAGUUGGUUGAGGUAAUGGCUCACCAAGGCGACGAUCAGUAGCUGGGCUGAGAGGAUGAUCAGCCACAUUGGGACUGAGACACGGCCCAAACUCCUACGGGAGGCAGCAGUGGGGAAUCUUGCGCAAUGGGCGAAAGCCUGACGCAGCCAUGCCGCGUGAAUGAUGAAGGUCUUAGGAUUGUAAAAUUCUUUUACCGGGGACGAUAAUGACGGUACCCGGAGAAGAAGCCCCGGCUAACUUCGUG